rnacentral:rRNA from 1 species
UACGUAGGUGGCAAGCGUUGUCCGGAAUUAUUGGGCGUAAAGCGCGCGCAGGCGGCCUCUUAAGUCUGAUGUGAAAGCCCCCGGCUCAACCGGGGAGGGCCAUUGGAAACUGGGAGGCUUGAGUAUAGGAGUGAAGAGUGGAAUUCCACGUGUAGCGGUGAAAUGCGUAGAGAUGUGGAGGAACACCAGUGGCGAAGGCGACUCUUUGGCCUAUAACUGACGCUGAGGCGCGAAAAGCGUGGGGGAGCAAACAGG